AUGAACGCUGGCGGCGUGCCUAAUACAUGCAAGUCGAGCGCACAGACGAGGAGCUUGCUCCUCUGACGUUAGCGGCGGACGGGUGAGUAACACGUGGAUAACCUACCUAUAAGACUGGGAUAACUUCGGGAAACCGGAGCUAAUACCGGAUAAUAUAUUGAACCGCAUGGUUCCAUAGUGAAAGACGGUUUUGCUGUCACUUAUAGAUGGAUCCGCGCCGCAUUAGCUAGUUGGUAAGGUAACGGCUUACCAAGGCAACGAUGCGUAGCCGACCUGAGAGGGUGAUCGGCCACACUGGAACUGAGACACGGUCCAGACUCCUACGGGAGGCAGCAGUAGGGAAUCUUCCGCAAUGGGCGAAAGCCUGACGGAGCAACGCCGCGUGAGUGAUGAAGGUCUUCGGAUCGUAAAACUCUGUUAUUAGGGAAGAACAAAUGUGUAAGUAACUAUGCACGUCUUGACGGUACCUAAUCAGAAAGCCACGGCUAACUACGUG
rnacentral:rRNA from 1 species